UACGGGGGGGGCAAGCGUUGUUCGGAAUUAUUGGGCGUAAAGGGCGCGCAGGCGGCUGGGCAAGUGGGUGGUGAAAUCCCCGGGCUCAACCCGGGGUUGGCCACCGAGACUGCUCGGCUGGAGUGUGGGAGAGGAGGGUGGAAUUCCUGGUGUAGCGGUGAAAUGCGUAGAGAUCAGGAGGAACACCGGUGGCGAAGGCGGCUCUCUGGACCACAACUGACGCUGAGGCGCGAAAGCUAGGGGAGCAAACAGGAUUAGAUACCCUGGUAGUCCUAGCCCUAAACGAUGGAUACUUGCUGUGGGGGGUAUUAAAUCCCUCUGUGGCGGAGCUAACGCGUUAAGUAUCCCGCCUGGGGAGUACGGUCGCAAGUCUGAAACUCAAAGGAAUUGACGGGGGCCCGCACAAGCGGUGGAGCAUGUGGUUCAAUUCGACGCAACGCGAAGAACCUUACCUGGGCUUGAACUCUUGUUGAAGGGGGCUGAGAGGCUCCGGUCCUUUACGGGACAACAGGAGAGGUGCUGCAUGGCUGUCGUCAGCUCGUGUCGUGAAAUGUUGGGUUAAGUCCCGCAACGAGCGCAACCCUUGCUCUUAGUUGCUAACGGGUCAAGCCGAGCACCCUAAGGGAACUGCCGGCGAUAAGCCGGAGGAAGGUGGGGAUGACGUCAAGUCCUCAUGGCCUUUAUGUCCAGGGCUACACACGUGCUACAAUGGGCGGUACAGAGAGUUGCAAACCUGUGAAGGGGAGCCAAUCUCAAAAAACCGUUCUCAGUUCGUAUUGAAGUCUGCAACUCGACUUCAUGAAGCUGGAAUCGCUAGUAAUUGCGGAUCAGCAUGCCGCGGUGAAUACGUUCCCGGGCCUUGUACACACCGCCCGUCACAUCAUGAAAGCUGGUUGUACUAGAAGUCGCCGGGCCAACCGCAAGGGGGUAGGCGCCCAAGGUAUGGCUGGUGAUUGGGGUG
rnacentral:rRNA from 1 species